AGCAAUUUAUACCGUGAAACUGCGAAUGGCUCAUUAAAUCAGUUAUCGUUUAUUUGAUAGUACCUUACUACUUGGAUAACCGUGGUAAUUCUAGAGCUAAUACAUGCUAAAAGCCCCGACUUCGGAAGGGGUGUAUUUAUUAGAUUAAAAACCAAUGCCCUUCGGGGCUCUUUGGUGAUUCAUAAUAACUUAACGAAUCGCAUGGCCUUGUGCCGGCGAUGGUUCAUUCAAAUUUCUGCCCUAUCAACUUUCGAUGGUAGUAUAUGGGACUACCAUGGUUUCAACGGGUAACGGGGAAUUAGGGUUCUAUUCCGGAGAGGGAGCCUGAGAAACGGCUACCACAUCCAAGGAAGGCAGCAGGCGCGCAAAUUACCCAAUCCCGACACGGGGAGGUAGUGACAAUAAAUACUGAUGCAGGGCUCUUUUGGGUCUUGUAAUUGGAAUGAGUACAAUUUAAAUCCCUUAACGAGGAACAAUUGGAGGGCAAGUCUGGUGCCAGCAGCCGCGGUAAUACCAGCUCCAAUAGCGUAUAUUAAAGUUGUUGCAGUUAAAAAGCUCGUAGUUGAACCUUGGGCCUGGCUGGCCGGUCCGCCUCACCGCGUGCACUGGUCCGGCCGGGUCUUUCCUCCUGGGGAGCCGCAUGCCCUUCACUGGGUGUGUCGGGGAACCAGGACUUUUACUUUGAAAAAAUUAGAGUGUUCAAAGCAGGCCUAUGCUCGAAUACAUUAGCAUGGAAUAAUAGAAUAGGACGUGUGGUUCUAUUUUGUUGGUUUCUCGGACCGCCGUAAUGAUUAAUAGGGAUGGUCGGGGGCAUCAGUAUUCAAUUGUCAGAGGUGAAAUUCUUGGAUUUAUUGAAGACUAACUACUGCGAAAGCAUUUGCCAAGGAUGUUUUCAUUAAUCAGGGAACGAAAGUUAGGGGAUCGAAGACGAUCAGAUACCGUCGUAGUCUUAACCAUAAACUAUGCCGACUAGGGAUCGGGCGAUGUUAUUUUUUUUGACUCGCUCGGCACCUUACGAGAAAUCAAAGUCUUUG
rnacentral:rRNA from 1 species